rnacentral:rRNA from 1 species
UUACAUAAUAUAUAAUAAAAAGGGUGAUAUCUUAAACUUUAUGUUAAUUAAAUAAAUUUACUAUAUAAUUAAGGUUAAAACCAGGAUUAGAUACCCUGUUAUUCUUAGUUUUAAUAUUUCUAAAGUAGUAGUUUAGAAACUUAAAAAUUUGACAGUAUUUAAUUUUUUAGAGGAAUAUGUAAUAUAAUCGUCAAUACUCGUUUAAUCUUACUUAUUCUUUCUUGUAUAUCUCCGUUGUCA